GUGCAGCAGUCGCGAAUUUUUCACAAUGGGGGAAACCCUGAUGGAGCGACGCCGCGUGGAGGAUGAAGGCCCUCGGGUCGUAAACUCCUGUCAUGCGGGAACAAGAAAGUGAUAGUACCGCAAGAGGAAGAGACGGCUAACUCUGUGCCAGCAGCCGCGGUAAUACAGAGGUCUCAAGCGUUAUUCGGAUUCAUUGGGCGUAAAGGGUGCGUAGGUGGCGAUGUAAGUCUGGUGUGAAAUCUCGGGGCUUAACCCCGAAACUGCAUUGGAUACUGCGUUGCUUGAGGAUUGUAGAGGAGUGUGGAAUUCACGGUGUAGCAGUGAAAUGCGUAGAUAUCGUGAGGAAGACCAGUUGCGAAGGCGACUCUCUGGGCAAUUCCUGACACUGAGGCACGAAGGCCAGGGGAGCAAACGGGAUUAGAUACCCCUGUAGUCCCUU
rnacentral:rRNA from 1 species